UACCGUUGGUUUUUCAGCGCGAAUCUUAUAGCGGAGAAAGUCGCCACGUCACCACAUACUCGUUCGGGACGCGAACGCCGACCCACGAGUCACUCCUCUGUCUUCUUCCCCCGCUCCUCUGUCUCACCCUUUUCCCCUCCCCCGACGGCCUUUAAUCGGCGAGGCAAGCAGAUCCCGGCGACUCCCGGCGAGGGUGGUGGCGCUAGAUGCGCGGUGGGAGGCCCCCGGUUGGCGGUAGAUGGCUGGCGAGGCGGGCAGUGGCGGGCGGAGGCCGCGGCGGUGGUGAACAGUAGUGGUCUAGUGGAUCCGGCUGACGGCGAGGGAAGGCACGGCGGAGGAGGAAGGCGCGCACGGCUGCUGUUGGGGGUUCGAGCUCCGCCGCCACCAGGCCCCCCGUAUGCUCCCACGGGACGGGCCUUGAUUCUGCUACUCGCCCCCGCCGCCACGACGGGCGUCGAGGCCGCCUCCAUUCGGUGCUCCUUGGCGACGACGAGCACCAGACCGGUCUUCGCGACGGCGAAUGGUGGCCAUGGUGAGCCUGCUGCUCGCUCCCUCCGCCGCGGCGGGCGUCGAGGCCGCCUCCAUUCGGGCGCUCCUCGGCGACGGCGCGUGGUGGCCAUGGUGAGCCUGCUGCUCGAGGCAGCUCGCGGGUUCGUCAGCUCCGGCGUGGAGGAUGACUAGAUGCUACUGUGGUGGUGAGCGCCCGCUCACCCCCUGGUCAACCUCCUGCGUCUGGGCGCCCUCCCGUGGGGGGAGGAGAUGGCCGCCGCGGCGUGCAGUCGCGGCCUGCUCCUGCACAACCACCAGCACCAGUGGAGGAGCCGCGGUGGGGAGGUGUUCAUCUACUCUUUUUCUUCGAUGGUACACCUGUACUGACGUCUGAUGAUUUUUUCUUGGAGUUAAUCUACCUGCUAGAAUGCUGAGUACCAUGAGCUUUUUGAACACGAUUUGCCAUGCUUGUGUAUGAAACAGUCCCUAAAAUUUGCUAUGCUACACUAAAAUCUGAGUAGCACACAUUUUCGCCGUGAUUUUUUAGUUACUGAAUUUAUCAUGUGAGCAGUACAGAAUUUUAGGAGUUUGGUCCUAUAAUACAUGGCAAUUUCUAAGCACAAUGUUUAGUAAAACAUCACAAUUUCUUAUAUUAUUACAAAUUCUCACACCAUGACAACUUUAUAAAUUGUUAGUUCAUUCACAUGACACUAUUUUUGAUAGUUUUUGUACUAACAUCAUGGCCCAUCUCAGAUUAUUGUUUCUAAUGGUUAUAUGGCAAAUGUAGGCUAUUUUUUAGAAACUAUGUGUCAUAUGGUCAUAGGGCAAUGAGGUGAUCAUUGCAUUUUAGUAACCAUCUGUCAUCAUUUCAUCAACGCGGUGAUUCACAAAUGACAACUUUAGUUGGUUUUUGCCAUGACAAGCUUAACAUGUGUUCGUGCGUCAUCUUUUUACAACGAUUUUUCCAUGAAAAGGAAAGUGGUUAACCAUGGCAAAUUUUGGUUCAUAGAUCAUGGAAAGUUUCAGUUUCUCAUUAAUUAACCAUGCCAACUUUUUUUUCAUUUGAUCUUGGUAAGUUUAAAAAUUGACCAUCGCAAGUUUAGUUUGUAGAUCAUGGCAAUUUUUAGUUUCAUGUAUUUGCAUGGCAACAUUUCUUUUGGCAAUAUGAUGGCAACUUUAAGUAAAUGACCAUGGCAAAUUAAGUUUACGAUUCAUGGCAAAUUUCAUUAAUUAAACAUGGCAAAAAAAAUCUUUAGUAAAUGACCAUAGCAAUUUUCAGUAAAUGAUGAUGUUUUAGUAAAUGACCAUGGCAAAUUAAGUUUACGAUUCAUGGCAAUUCUUUACUUCUCUUUUUUUUUCAUGACAAAUUUACUUUUAUUUGCCAAAACGAUGGCAAUUCUUAGGAAAUAACCAUGGCAAAUUUAGUUGAAGAAACAUGGCAAAUUUGGUUAAAGAAUAAUGGAAAAUUUAUUUUUCGUAGAUCAUGGUAGUUUUUAAUAUUUGACCAUGGCAACUUUAGUUCAUAGAUCAUGGCAAAUUUUUAAGUAUGGCAUUUUUUUUGUUUCUUUGUGCAACUUGUAAAAAUUACUUUUUAUGUGCGCAUGGAAAAUUUAUCUUUAUGCUCACGGCAAAUUUUUCUUUAUGCAGCACGACAAUUUUUAGUGUACAGACCAUGGCAUUUUUCCUGCUACCACGACAAAUUUUUUUUGAACAAUUUUCAAAAUGUAAUACAAACCAUGGCAAUUUAAUUUAUGUAGCACGGCAAUUUUCUUUUUCCAUUGGACCACGGCAAUUUCUUUGUUUUUGUAAAGCAUAAAAUUUUGCUAGUUACCAUCUACUCCCUCCGUUCGGAUUUAGUUGUCGCGACGGUGUAUUUGCGAAAACCCCCUCCAUCUAUUUCCGACCGAACCCGCGGUCCUCGCGCUUGCUCUCUUCUCCGGCUGGCCGCCGCGGUCCGCUCGGUGCUCUUCUCCGGCUCGCCGCUGCGCUGCCGCCGCGCUCUCCCCCCUCCCCCCACCUUCUAUAGCGUCGCCGCGCUCUCCUCCCCCACCUUCGGUGGCCUCGCCGCGCUCCUCUCCUCCUUCCCGCAGCGAACUUCGAAAAAGCUUGGACCUUUGAGUUCAAGCCGGCGACGGAUUCCGUCGAUGCGAGGCCGAAGGCGCCAGAUCCAGACCACCACCAACACGACGCCGGCAACUGGACGCCACGGGGACGCCGGCGAGCUGCUGUCGUCCACCACGACGCGACGGUGGCGAGUUGGCGCUGUCAGGGACGGACCUGCGGGCAGGAGGAGAGGAAGGCAGCACCCGUCACCGCCGCCAAGCUCCUGGCGCCGGUGGCCGCGAGCUUCAGGGGAUACCUCCUUCCCUGCAUCCUCCUCUGCCGAGGCAGCCGGCGAGGCGCCCCUGCUCUGUCAGCUGGUUCUGAGGCAUCAUCUUGUUGAGGACUCAUGUUGAGAUCAAUCCCAAACAUCAUUGCGGCGGUGGACCACUUGCUCAGGUGGUGUCCUAGAAACAUCAAUUUAUUCUUGCAUACAAAUGUUGCAGUGCUGAAAUGUUUGUGCUGAACUGCAUAGUGUAAAAACUGGGGAAUGUUUUUUCAGAGCAAGGAGCAGCUGAAUUCAGAGCAAGUUAUGUCCCGUGUCUGUCAGGGUUUGGUCUUAUUAAAAACAUCCAUCUACCAGAGGGGGGGUGGCAUCUGAUGGCUGCUUGAUGCCACCUUUAUGAAUGAAUGAAUGUGGCAUCUUCUUAGAUAGAUCCACCUGAUGACCAGAUGAAGGAAGCCUUUGAUCCGCCCGCCCGGUGGCAGCAGCAACGCCAGAAGCAGAUAACGGCGCCUCCAUCUUCACGAGGAAAAACAUUUGGAGUGAUGCGGCUGCCGAGGGAGACGACGACAAUUCCUCGCCUUGGCCAUGGGACGGUGUGAAAAGUGAAGAGGAUGCUGAUUUUCUUUCUCAUGCAAACAGGGCUUUGUCGUUUCUGAGCAAGGAGCGGCAGCAAUUUCAGAUUCUUUGAGAAAAUUUCAGAGCAAGGAGCAGCAGCGGCAACCUGUAACUUCUUCAGAGAAGAACUCGAAGGCAGGGAAGCAGCAGCAGCUCGAGCUCCACCGGCUGCAGGGGAGAAGCAGAAGCACGAGCUCGACCGGCUGCAGAAGCAGAAGCAGAAGCACGAGCGCCGCCGUUUUUUGUUCACCGGAGGAGCUACCGUGACGAACUUCAGCGGCGGCAAGCAGCGACCGGAUUGGGAGGGGACGGCGGCGAUUCAGUUGAUUCGUGGCUUUCCGACAAGCGUGGCUCGAGGCGGGCGUAGCUCUCGGCGCGGCGGAGCUCGGACUGGCUCGGGGAGGACCGAGGUCGCCCGUCGGCGUCGAGCUCGUGGGGGGAAGCGGCGGUCGUGGUGGGAGGAGAUGGCCUCGAUUCCGUUGAUCCACGGCCGGAGGCAGCGGAGGAGCUUCAGGAGAUUUUUGGCAGGGGAUAAGGAUCGGGAUCAGGCCGGCGGGCGGAGCUCUACUGGCCUGUAGCCUCGCCGGCGGCCGAUUCUUCACGCGCGAGCCGUGCACGCCUGUCAUCGUCUAUUUUUGUACAAUUUGAAAAUGCGCAGGGGGUUUCUUGUAAAUGUUUCGUAGUUCAAAUUUAAGAACCCCCACGACAUCUAAAUCCGAACGGAGGGAGUAUCAUGGCAUUUCUCUUGUUCUUUAGGUAGUGUGUGGUAGUCUUAACAAUUACAGUAUAACAAUCGAUGGCAAUUUCUAGAAUUUUGAGGCA